GUUCUCAGUUCGGAUUGUAGGCUGCAACUCGCCUACAUGAAGUCGGAAUCGCUAGUAAUCGCAGAUCAGCAUGCCGCGGUGAAUACGUUCCCGGGCCUUGUACACACCGCCCGUCACACCAUGGGAGUUUGUAACGCCCAAAGUCGGUGGCCUAACCUUUAUGGAGGGAGCCGCCUAAGGCGGGACAGAUGACUGGGGUGAAGUCGUAACAAGGUAAC
rnacentral:rRNA from 1 species